CAAGCUGGUCAGUGAUGGCCGGUUGAACUGAACAGAAGUCAGCCGAAGUCAUAGUAGUGACACACAGUGCCAUGAAGGAC
rfam:Lactobacillus vini DSM 20605 Scaffold230, whole genome shotgun sequence.